rnacentral:sRNA from 1 species
GUAGUUAACAAUUAUAU